rnacentral:rRNA from 1 species
UGAGGAAUAUUGGUCAAUGGACGCAAGUCUGAACCAGCCAUGCCGCGUGAAGGAUGAAGGCGUUCUGCGUUGUAAACUUCUUUUAUCUGGGAAGAAACCUUCUUUUUCUAAGGAAGCCGACGGUACCAGAGGAAUAAGCACCGGCUAACUCCGUG